GACGAACGCUGGCGGCGUGCUUAACACAUGCAAGUCGAACGACGUGGCGAACGGGUGAGUAAUACGUGUGUAACCUGCCCUCCUUUUUGGGAUAAGCUUUGGAAACGGGGUCUAAUACCUGCUAACGGGGGAUGGCCUCGCGGCCUAUCCGCUUGUUGGUGGGGUGAUGGCCUUCCAAGGCGGUGACUGGUAGCCGGCCUGAGAGGGUGACGUGCCACAUGGGGACUGAGAUACGGCCCAGACUCCUACGGGAGGCAGCAGGGGGGGAUAUUGCACAAGGGGGGAAAGCCUGAUGCAGCGACGCCGCGUGAGUGAUGACGGCCUUCGGGUUGUAAAGCUCUGUUAAUCGGGACGCGGUACCGGAAUAGAAAGCCACGGCUAACUACGUGCCAGCAGCCGCGGUAAUAC
rnacentral:rRNA from 1 species